rnacentral:rRNA from 1 species
UACGUAGGUGGCGAGCGUUGUCCGGAAUGACUGGGCGUAAAGGGCGUGUAGGCGGCCUUUCAAGUCUGGGGUGAAAACCGGCGGCUCAACCGCCGGCCGGCCCUGGAAACUGGGGGGCUGGAGUGGGCUAGAGGGCAGCGGAAUUCCCGGUGUAGCGGUGAAAUGCGUAGAGAUCGGGAGGAACACCAGUGGCGAAGGCGGCUGCCUGGGGCCUGACUGACGCUGAGGCGCGAAAGCUGGGGGAGCAAACAGG